ACCCCCCCACACUUGGAUACCGCUGCCUAAAACAGGUCCUCAGCAACAGCCAGCCACCGCAUCACUCUAUGCAGCCUCUUCAUCGCGGCCCAACCAUCAUCAAAAAUGCCUAAGAACGUAAAAGGAUUAGGAAACCGCCAUGCACCACCACAAGGGAAGAGAAGAGGAAGAAUACAGGCCAGAAAUGCCCAUCAACAGCAAACACUCGGGCUGAGGAGACGACUCAGUAGGUAGAGCUUGUCCUGCAAGCACAGAGACCCGAGCGCCGUCCUCAGAACCCAUGUUUAUGGAAAGAAAAGGCAGACAACACCAAAGCUAAGUGGAAAGACCAAUUGCUUAAAGGCACCGCACGCUCUGGAUGCAGGCCGUGGUGAAAUCACACCGACACUGAGAUAGAAGCUUCCUCCACGCCUGCUUAUUUUCAUAAUGCUAGAAGUUGCAGCCUGGGCUUCUGGGGGAGAGAUGUCAUCAACGGUCCUACCCAGAUGUGGACCCUUGCAUAUUAGCAAUCCUGACCUGUCGGGCAAAAUGUGAUCACUGUACCCACCUACUUCUAUUCAGGAACCGGAAGAUUCCUGAGGAUGACGAGACCCACUGAACCACCAGACACACUCUCUCAAAGGCAGAAUAAAUACAUGAAGAGCUGACUGGCUACCCUUUCCCCUUCAGCCCUCAUCACUCAGGAAUCUACUUUCCAGCUUCCCCUUGGCAGGAAAUUGAGCAGAUCCCCCAAGGCCUGAUGGGACUACAGAGCUUCGAAACUGAGGCAUCUUAAGCAGGAAAAUUGUUCUUGACUUUGCAUAGUUUUUUUUUUUUUUAAGUUUCUUUCAAUGGUGGUUAUAAAUAGUUAUGGACCUGUCAAAUCCACAUCAAUGCUUCAGCUCUUUGAAAGGACUCAGACGGGAAAAGCUAUUUUAAGUGGGAGAAACUUUGAUGGCCAUCUCUCUCUCCUCUGCCUGUGAUGAUGCCACUUUGAUCUUCUAGCUCAGUCAGCCUGGUUUGAGCCCUCAGAAGCCCACGACUAAACACCCUGUUCCUAUUACUUCCUUAUUUGAUAUUUUAAUUGAACGAGCGCCAUCGUUUCCUGGCCAAUAUUCCCCAUCUGCUGCUUCUCCAUUUUUUUUCCCCAUCGGAGCACCUGAGGCAACACCCCUUCCUGGAACGAGAUCUGCUCUCUCUGGCUUCCUCUGGAAUCGACUCUGUUUCCUGAAGCCAGAGCCAUCCGCCUGCUGGAAACAAAUCUGCCCUCGAGGUGUCCCUCUGGAGGUCACCAUCUGGGUUCUGAACUACCCUGAGGGAGUGGGAGAUGGCAGUGCUCAGCAGCUGCCUCUGUGGGUUCCAAGCCAGCCUCUGCACAACGGCGGCCUUUGGAAAAGGCCGCUUUGAUUUGAAUAACAGCCAGUGCAGGAGCCAUCAAAUAAUGACUUAGUUAAACAAACUGGCCCCAUCGUGCAGAGAGAAACCUGGAAGAAGAAGCAAGGGCACAGUGAGGCAAAAAAGAGGAGGGGGCUAGAGAGAUGCCUCGGGAGUUAGGACCAUGUACUACUCUUGGAGGGGACCUGCCUUCAGUUCCCGACACCCACACGGGGCACAUACAUGCAGGCAGGCAAAAUGGUUAUACACACCAAAUAUAAAUAAAUAGAUCAUUUAAAAAAAAAAGAAAAAAAAGAACUCAACACUUAUAAGUCCCCAGACAGGAAGAAAGACAGAUGUGCCCUGAGUUGUAGCCUUCCCCGAAAUUUAUAGGUUAAGUAUUCAGAAUAAAUAGUCAGAAAACACGCUUCUACUCUGUACCAGGUGCCCACAGUGAUGGAGAAGGUCCAUCCCACACCCCCAGACCAGCCUCACCUCACACAAGGCUGUCAGUGCUAUUUAUUUCCAUCCUUGUUGCUCAAGUCACUUAGGGAAGAAAGGGUUUAAUUGGGUUUGCCGUCUGAGGACCACCACAGUGCGGAGGUCAGGACGGCAGCAGCUUCGGACAGCCGGUCACAUCGCAUCUGCACUCAGGAAGCAGAGGGCAGAGAACACUGUUGCUCGGCCCACUUCAUUCAGUCCGGGCUCCACUCAUGCGAUGAUGGGCCUUCCCACCUCAGAGAACUUCAUCUAGAUCUAAUGUCACAGGCAUUAACAGAUCCUGUCCUUGACAAUUCAAGAUUAACCAUUGAACUGUCCAACAGGAUGAUAGAAGAAGUCAUGGUGA